ensembl:lncRNA ERVK13-1 endogenous retrovirus group K13 member 1
GGGCAUCGCGGGGGGCGGGGCGUCGCGGGCACAGCGUGAGGGCCGCCGUUGCUGGAGUUCAGCUUAGGGAAGGAGGACUCUGAGGAGGCCCCGAGCGGCGGAGCGCUUCGGGGGAGGCGCCCGCGCAGACGCGAGGCCCAUAGCCAGGACCACCACCUAGCUGAUUCUUGAUGACAUUGGUCGGGAAAACUCGCCUUUCACGGCCCGGCCAAGGGGCAUUUGGGUGCUUUUGCUGCCCGUGGCUGUGCUCAGCGUUGUGGGAAGCCCCUGGGAGGCCGAAUGUGCAGGAUCACCGAGGGGAAAGUGAGCUUGACAGUUCUACAGUCUGGGGACGACGGUUUAAAAAUUUAUGCCUUGCAUGCGAUGUGCAGUGGGUGAUGGAAGAACGUCUACAUGGCUUUAAAAUUGGAUUUAAAAGGCAAAUAUUUUAAAUGAAGGAAAACCCAAGAAGUUUACUUGAUUCCUUAUCUUCCAGGAUGCGACUUUUGUUUAUUUAUUUAUUUUAUUUUGAUGGAGUCUCGCUGCCGUCGCGCAGGCUGGAGUGCAGUGACGCGAUCUUGACCCGGGAACCUCCACCUCCCGGGUUCAAGCGAUUCUCCUUCCUCAACCACCCGAGUAGCUGGGAUUACAGGCGUGUGCCACCAUGCCCGGCUAAUUUUUGUGUUUUUAGUAGAGACCGGGGAAGGUAUGGGCCCUCUUUUGAGAAAAAUGCAGAGUGACACUGAAUUUUGUAACUACAUCAGGAGGCUCUUGAACCUUCUGCAGCUCACUCGUGGAGUUUGUAGAGAUGCGUAAUAAUCCGAAGUGUUAAGGAAGAAGGUUCUGUUGAGAAAAAGUUGGAGGGCUGAAAGGGAUGCCUUUCGCUAUUUCGACAUGUGUGGCUGUACCCCAGAGUGCCCUGGCUAACACGCAAAACCAUGAAUUAGGCGGCUUGGCGAGGCUCAGUGGAGGCUGGGGCCGAGAGUCAUGUCAAAGUUUGUGGGGUUAACCUGCACCCAGUGACAGUCAUGGCGAAGUUUGUGAGGUUAACUCGCACCCAGUAACGCUGUUCCAAUGCAAGGUGUGUAUUUGGUGUCAUCCACGGGAAGAGGAAACAGCAAAUUUUCUCAUGGCCUUGGCAGUUCCACAUGAUGGACAUUUCAUAUCUGCAGUUUUCUUCGCAUGAGAUGGCUUUUUUGCACAAAAACACUGGAAUCCAGUGAGCAAGAAUGAUAGAAUGCAAGAUGGAUUUCCACAUGAGGAAGUGUCACGAACAAGCGUUUUGCAUCUCUGUCAGCUGGAUUCCCCCAUGUGUACGUAUGUGAGAACAUGCCGUGUUUCCUGUCUGUAAUGGUAGAGGCAGCCCUGAUACUGGAUUUUCACCUGAGGAUGGAUAGAUCUUCAGGGUUCAAGUGGGUUUGCAUCUGGACUUUAGGGUGGCCCUGUAGGCCCUGUGUGAGAAGCCCCCUUCCCAGUGAACUUUCCCUUGUGUGCCCGCGUGGACAGCCAACAGGGGGAGCAGUGCGAGCGUGAAGGCAGACAGUGGCCUGGCCCAGUCUGAUGGGAGAGACCCACCGACCCUGUGGGGCUGGUCCCUACAUCUGGCGCUCUGACGUGGGGCUCUCCCUCGCUGUGUGAAGUUGCACCCUGAGUGCGGGAUCAGCGGAGGAGUUCAACGAGAGAUUCCUGAGGAUUGCAGUCUAUAAACUUGGUGGAAAAGAACUACAGCCUGUGUGGGUCCCCUCCCGACAAUUAAAAUUGCACCAUAACUCCAAAGAUGAAACGCUCCCAGAAAGAAAAGGCAAAGACCCAUCGGAAACAAAAGAGCAACUUUCACCGCCUGAUACAUACACUUCAUGACAUCCACAUUGAGACAAAAUCUCGCCGUGUGACCUACAACACCUCUCGUUCAACCCCACCUACUUGGGGUCGAAUACAGAUUUUAUCUCAUCAAACAGAAAAAUUCUUAACAGAAAAAGGAAUCCCAAAAAUGACUGGUAAUAUAAUUCUGGCUGCCUUUAUGGUAGUCAGUGCAGCGUCUGCAGAUGCCUCUAAGGAGUCCGAAACCAAGUCCGAAGUCAACAACAAGCAAUGAUGGCGAUGGCGAUUCUAGUUAAUAAAAAGGGGGGAGAUGUGGGCGGCAAGCCACCCAGGCACCGAGGCAAGAGACAGAGGACACGAGCUGUUCCAGUAUAAUAAAAUAUAAAACAAGAAUAGUUAUACCAGAUAUAGAUCUUAGAUAUGAUUAUAUACGAAUAUCAUUAAUCAUGAGUUUGUAGCAAUUACUUUUUAUUCCAAUAUUAUGAUAAUCCUCGCUCUAUAAUCAUAGCCUAGGAAAAACCAGGCCAUACAGAGAUAGGAGCUGAGGGGACAUAGUGAAGUGUGACCAGAAGACAAGAGUGCGAGCCUUCUGUUAUGCCCGGACAGGGCCACCAGAGGGCUCCUUGGUCUAGCGGUGACGCCAGCGUCUGGGAAGACACCCGUUACCAGGCGGAUCGUGGCCCAGCCGUAGCAAAAGGUGUCAAGGAACACCUUUUGCAAAAGGUGUCAACACCCGCUACUUAGCAGACUGGGAAAGGGGGGCGGUCUCCCUUUCCCCGGGGGAGUUUAGAGAAGACUCUGUUCCUCCACCUCUUGUGGAGGGCCUGACAUCAGUCAGGCUUGCCCGUAGUUAUCCGGAGGCCUAACUGUCUCCCUGUGAUGCUGUGCUUCAGUGGUCACGCUCCUAGUCUGCCUUCAUUUUCCAUCCUGUACACCUGGCUCUGCCUUCUAGAUAGCAGUAGUAAAUUAGUGAAAAUACUAAUAGUCCCUGAUAUGCAGAAAUAAUGGCAUAAGCUGUCUUUCUCUCUGUCUCCUCUCCCUCUCUGCCUCGGCUGCCAGGCAGGGAAGGGCCCCCUGUCCAGUGGACACAUGACCCAUGUGACCUUACCUAUCAUUGGAGGUGACUCACAUUCUUUACCCUGCCCCUUCUGCCUUGUAUCCAAUAACAGCGCAGUCAGACAUUCAGGGCCACUACCGGUCUCCGCACAUUGGUGGUAGUGGUCCCCCGGGCCCAGC